rnacentral:rRNA from 1 species
UACGUAGGGUGCGAGCGUUAAUCGGAAUUACUGGGCGUAAAGCGUGCGCAGGCGGUUAUAUAAGACAGAUGUGAAAUCCCCGGGCUCAACCUGGGACCUGCAUUUGUGACUGUAUAGCUAGAGUACGGUAGAGGGGGAUGGAAUUCCGCGUGUAGCAGUGAAAUGCGUAGAUAUGCGGAGGAACACCGAUGGCGAAGGCAGCCCCCUGGGUCAAGACUGACGCUCAUGCACGAAAGCGUGGGGAGCAAAAAGG